AGCUAGCUUUUGGGUUAAAGUUA
rnacentral:siRNA from 1 species